AAUGAACGCUAGCGGCAGGCUUAAUACAUGCAAGUCGAGGGACAGCACAGGUAGCAAUACUGGGUGGUAACCGGCAAACGGGUGCGGAACACGUACACAACCUUCCUUUAAGUGGGGGAUAGCCCAGAGAAAUUUGGACUAAUACCCCGUAAUAUAGUUGAAUGGCAUCAUUUGAUUAUUAUAGCUACGGCGCUUAAUGAUGGGUGUGCGGCUGAUUAGAUAGUUGGCGGGGUAACGGCCCACCAAGUCUACGAUCAGUAGCCGAUGUGAGAGCAUGAUCAGCCACACGGGCACUGAGACACGGGCCCGACUCCUACGGGAGGCAGCAGUAAGGAAUAUUGGUCAAUGGACGCAAGUCUGAACCAGCCAUGCCGCGUGAAGGAUUAAGGUCCUCUGGAUUGUAAACUUCUUUUAUUUGGGACGAAAAAGGGCCUUUCUAGGUCAACUGACGGUACCAGAUGAAUAAGCACCGGCUAACUCCGUGCCAGCCGCCGCCGUAAGAC
rnacentral:rRNA from 1 species